UCCCUGAUAGCUCAGUUGGUAAAGAAUCUGUCUGCAAUGCAGGAUACCUGGGUUCGAUCCCUGGGUUGGGAA
rnacentral:tRNA from 1 species